UGUUGUCCAGCGCUGUUCUUGCCGAUGAGUGCAGCACCGAUGGAUCCUCUGGUGAUCUGACAUUUGCAUACACUAGUGAUAACGAUGACAUGAAUCAUUUCGUCGAGGUUACGACAAAUGGCUGCCCCCUUCAUGCGUAUGGAGGCGAUACGGCUAUCACUCAAGAU
rnacentral:ribozyme from 1 species